rnacentral:rRNA from 1 species
GCGAACGGGUGAGUAACAGGUGGGUACCUGCCCAGAAGCAGGGGAUAACACUUGGAAACAGAUGUUAAUCCCGUAUAACAAAAGAAACCCGCUUGUUUUUCUUUAAAAAGAUGGUUGUGCUUAUCACUUUUGAUGGACCCGGGGCGCAUUAGCUAGUUGGUGAGGUAACGGCUCACCAAGGCAAUGAUGCGUAGCCGACUUGAGAGGGUAAUCGCCACAUUGGGAUUGAGACACGGCCCAGACUCUACGGGAGCAGCAGUAGGGAAUCUUCCACCAAUGGACGCAAGUCUGAUGGAGCAACGCCGCGUGAGUGAAGAAGGGUUUCGGCUCGUAAAGCUCUGUUGUUAAAGAAGAACGUGGGUGAGAGUAACUGUUCACCCAGUGACGGUAUUUAACCAGAAAGCCACGGCUAACUACGUGCCAGCAGCCGCGGUAAUACGUAGGUGGCAAGCGUUAUCCGGAUUUAUUGGGCGUAAAGCGAGCGCAGGCGGUCUUUUAAGUCUAAUGUGAAAGCCUUCGGCUCAACCGAAGAAGUGCAUUGGAAACUGGGAGACUUGAGUGCAGAAGAGGACAGUGGAACUCCAUGUGUAGCGGUGAAAUGCGUAGAUAUAUGGAAGAACACCAGUGGCGAAGGCGGCUGUCUGGUCUGUAACUGACGCUGAGGCUCGAAAGCAUGGGUAGCGAACAGGAUUAGAUACCCUGGUAGUCCAUGCCGUAAACGAUGAUUACUAAGUGUUGGAGGGUUUCCGCCCUUCAGUGCUGCAGCUAACGCAUUAAGUAAUCCGCCUGGGGAGUACGACCGCAAGGUUGAAACUCAAAAGAAUUGACGGGGGCCCGCACAAGCGGUGGAGCAUGUGGUUUAAUUCGAAGCUACGCGAAGAACCUUACCAGGUCUUGACAUCUUCUGCCAACCUAAGAGAUUAGGCGUUCCCUUCGGGGACAGAAUGACAGGUGGUGCAUGGUUGUCUUCAGCUCGUGUCGUGAGAUGUUGGGUUAAGUCCCGCAACGAGCGCAACCCUUAUUACUAGUUGCCAGCAUUCAGUUGGGCACUCUAAUGAGACUGCCGGUGACAAACCGGAGGAAGGUGGGGACGACGUCAAAUCAUCAUGCCCCUUAUGACCUGGGCUACACACGUGCUACAAUGGAUGGGCAACGAGUCCCGAAACCGCGAGGUUAACUAAUCUCUUAAAACCAUUCUCAAUUCGGACUGUAGGCUGCAACUCGCCUACACGAAGUCGGAAUCGCUAGUAAUCGCGGAUCAACAUGCCGCGGGGAAUACGUUCCCGGGCCUUGUACACACCGCCGUCACACCAUGAGAAUUUGUACACCCAAAGCCGGUGGGGUACCUUUUAGACUACCGGCUAAAGUGGGGACAAAUGAUUAAGGUGAAGUCGUA